rfam:Salmo salar isolate Sally breed double haploid chromosome ssa13, whole genome shotgun sequence.
AAUGCACCAAUUUGUAAGUCGCUCUGGAUAAGAGCGUCUGCUAAAUGUCUGCUA